rnacentral:lncRNA from 1 species
GGGGGGCGGGGAAAACUUCUGGCUCAGCCAAUAGCGGGGCGGUGGGAGUGAGGGCGCCAAUAGAAACUCGAGCCGCCAUGUCGGUGGAGGAGGCCGCCAUCUUGUUGAGGGGAAGCGCGCUGCCUGGGAAAGGAGGACGGUGGAACGGUUGUGAGCGUGCAGUGAUGAUGCAUACGUUUCUGAGUCUUGGAAAAGACCGACGCCUUUCAGUGCUUUUCUUUUAGCUAAAAGGUUAUGACACAAGCAAUUUUAUUUCUGAAUUUCCAGGAAGAAGAUGAUUCUUCCACUGUAUUCAUCACUAUUAAUAGGCUGAUGAUUGAUAAUGUUCUUUACUAUAAAGGGAUUAAAAUGGCGUAAGGAAAAAGAAUGUGUUGAUCUGAUAUGUUCAGUAUCUACGUAUUUAUACAAGAGCACACAAACAUUUGAAAACUGCCUUUCAGAAAUAAAACAUUAAGAAUCUUCCACAUUUAUCCCAUAAGUAAUAUAUCGAGAAAUUCUGUGAGGUUUUAUUGCAGUUUGUAAAUGUAAGAUGAAAUCCAAAAUAAAUAUUCUCUUUGAUAUAUUUGACUUCAUACAUUUGAAGGAUAUCUAACAUAGCCGCUGGAGUACCAUUUCUGUUUUAAAUACUGAACAUAUUUUCAAUAAAGUCAAAUGGGACAACUUAAAAUAUCAGAAAGCAUAUGUCUCAAUAUAGAACACGGAAUUUGAUUUUUCCUUCAUCAUAUUUCCUGCAUAUUUUCUGCACCUCUAGACACAGGCAAAAAAGCACUGGGGAAAUAGCAUGUUUAUGAAAAUGAAUUUCUGAAAUCUGUGUGUAUAAGCAGCUAAGACUGAUUGAAUUAAAAUAUAUCAUCCCGAUCUCUUCAUGAGACUCAGCUUAUGCAGUUGGUAGCAAGUUUUGUAUUUAAACAUAAGCAGCAAAAUCACAUGAUGGUUAAAUAGCUUUAGUGCAGCUAAGACUCAUUUGCAUAUUUUACAAAUUUGAACAAUGACAAUUAGUGCAGCAAUACUAAUCCUACUAGUGUUAUUUCUUGUAAAGUUUUAAAUAUCCCUGACAUAAAACAUUACCCUAUUAUUAUUUUCGUGUGGUAGGUAUCUCAAACUACUUGUCCAAAAUAAAAUAACAUAUAAAAUAAAAAUACUAGAAUUAGUGGUCUCCAAUGAUGGUGUAGCUUCAAGUUAGAUAUGCCUCAUUUCUAGCCCACAAAAUGUUAAAAAUAUAUAUUUUUAAAAAUUUUGGUUAAAAAAAUUGUAAUGUUUAUCAUAUUAAUUAAAUGAAAUUCUUACAAGCAGAGUGGAAUCUUGUCUUUUGGAAGCACAAUCUGAGAUUUAAGGAUUGGGCAACAUUUCCAAAAAUAAAGGAUGCUAGAUCUCUUCUAGUACUACAGUGCCAGUACGGUAGAGGAAGCAGAAGAGUAGCUUGCUUUUUGUUUUCCAAGCUGGCCAUUGCUUGAAGACAGGCUAGACAUGAAUCUGCUUGUGCAAGGUGGCAUGUGACUUCCUUUGCAUUGCUUGUUUUUGUAAGCUAUUUAUCUCAUGAUCUAUGAAUUUUCUUGCUUUUGUUCUUCCUAUAAGCCCCUCUCCCACUGGUGGUGGGGAGGUGAGUGAGCAGCUGUGUGAGUGCAUAUCUGUUGGCCAGGGUCAGCCCACUGCAGCAGGACAUGUAACUAUAUGCAGUUUAUGUUACUAAUAAGUACUUAUUCGUAUUCAUUGGCUUUUCCUACUGAAACUUGUGACAGUUUGAAC